UGGGGAAUAUUGGGCAAUGGGCGCAAGCCUGACCCAGCAACGCCGCGUGAGGGAAGAAGGUCUUCGGAUUGUAAACCUCUGUCCUUGGGGACGAAAAAAAUGACGGUACCCAAGGAGGAAGCUCCGGCUAACUACGUGCCAGCAGCCGCGGUAAUACGUAGGGAGCGAGCGUUGUCUGGAAUUACUGGGCGUAAAGGGUGCGUAGGCGGCCAGGCAAGUCAGAUGUGAAAUCCCCGGGCUUAACUCGGGAGUUGCAUUUGAAACUGCUUGGCUUGAGUGCAGGAGAGGACAGCGGAAUUCCGAGUGUAGCGGUGAAAGGCGUAGAUAUUAGGAGGAACACCAGUGGCGAAGGCGGCUUUCUGGACUGUAACUGACGCUGAGGCACGAAAGCGUGGGGAGCAAA
rnacentral:rRNA from 1 species